CUAUCCCUCAUAAUCUAAUGGAGAGGAAGAGCAGAAGCCCUAAUCAUCACCUAGAAGAAAAGAGGGCAACCUUAGAGCAGCUGUGCUGGAGCCUGUAGUUUCCCAGGAACUGUGGAUGGAGCAUGCCAGCCAUGUGCCCUACAGACCUGGGCUAUGGAAUCGUGACUGUGGGAACAAGCCAUGUUGUUAGAAUUACAGAGAACUUCUGGUGUGGAAAUACCACCUCAUGUGCAAAUUACACAUUUUGAGUUGCCUGGAGUAACAAAAGGUUAUUGACAAAAGCAUUAAGCAGCACAGAGCUAAGCAUAGUGGAGACUACGUGACAACAAACUAUUAAUGACAAGGUAUAGAUAUUCAACCAAGUCCAAAUCACCUAAUUAUAUUAUUAUCUAGCCCACAUCUUUCCAUCUUUUUCCUCUGAAAUGGUAUGAAAUACUUUAUCAAAUGCUUUGCUGGCCAACCCAGACAAAUAUAGUCUCCAGGGGAUGAAGGCUUAGUGCCAAAACUAAUUGAUUUACUGAAACACAUUGUAACAAUAAGAUUAAAAGUGCAAGCAGAUGCUUUUGCCCCAACCUCCAUCCCCACCCAGAAAAGCAAAGAAGAUAAUCUGAAUGUCAGCCUACAUUAUCCAACUAUCAAUUGCUCUUAAGGUCAAAACAACUCUGCUUAAAAAGUCUCAGUCUUAAGAUAUUUUUGCUCUCUUGAUAUUUGUCAUUUAUUGGCAAUGUUUCACAUUUAUAGCAUAAAAAUGUACAAAUACUUUCAUUCAAGCCCAAAUCUCAAAUUAUCUACUUCCUUUCGUGGUGUACUUGCAUAUUUUCACUCCUUUCCAAGUCUUUUCUAUGAAUUCAUCAGUUUGAUUUAUAAACGAGCGUCCAAGGACAAUUCAGUCUACAUUUUUUCCCUUCAACUAAUACACUUUAAUUCAACCAA